ACACCUCGCCUGCCUUUAACUGAAGGCCCGGCGGUUUCUCAGCUGGCUGCACAGACGGGAGCUGCAGUCUCCGUGCUGACUCCAUGCACCUCAUCUCUCUGGAUAUAUAUGGAUGGAUAUAUUCCGUUACUGAUACACUGAGUAUGCAUUGCUGGGGAAGGUUUAUCCAGAGAAUAAGUCGUGAAAACUAUCAGAGAACCCCAGUAAAGUAGAAAGCCCCCUGAAAAGAACUAUGGGUUCUAAUACGGGACCCAGGUGGCAGCAGAGGCCAUGAAAUUAAGGAAAUUCUCUUGUUCUAACGCAGAAACAACAUUCGAUUCCCACACCAUCAGGGACGCAGCUCGAUCAGAGAUAGCUCCGUGACAAUUAAGGCUGGAGAACGCGGCGGCUGCCGGCUGUGAAUGUGUUCUGCAGUUCAGCAGCGCCGCGUCGAGGAUUAACGGCCGUCGUGUUCCUGGGGACGGGUUGGUUUCUCGCUGAGCUCAUCGUGUGCUGUGCUGGAGCUGUGUGUGCAUCCAUCGAGGUCAGGGCGCUGCUGCAGAUUCCUGCCUGGUGCCUGCACCCCUCGGAGGCAGUGGCUGAUUUCACAACCGGCGCAAUGCUGGGACCGGUUUCCAGGUUCUCCUCUCAGUUCCUCACGCCCUUUUGGAAUCCCGAGUUAAUGGACCUGAUCUCAAUUGCCCUGAAUGUAUUCCUCCUCAUGAUAAUUUACAUCAUCUGGAGGAAACUUUCCCCGAAACCGGAGAAUGCGGAGUGGCAGGGAAUCUGGAGAGGGCUGGGAAACGUCUUAGAAGCGUGGGGAGCCCCGGGGUCGUCGCGUCAAGAACGGGAAGAAGCAGCAGCAGCAGCAGCAGGGGAGGAAGGAGAGGAAGAUCCGGGCGAGGGGCCCUCCCCAAAACCCCCGGCACCGAGAAGGGCAAGGGAAGAAACAAAGAGACACGGAGAGGAGAGCGAGGAGGAGGGAGGCACUGCUACCACUGCUCGCCAACCUCUGGAUAGGACUGAGAUCCAAGGCUGGAGAAAUGAGUUUGCGCGGCGCCCGAACGAGGCCGUUGUCUCCUGGUUGGUUCGGUGCUGGGACAGGGGGGCCAGCAGCUUGAUUCUAGAUGGAAACGAAGCUCGCCAGCUGGGAAGCAUUGCCAGAGACUCAGCCGUUGACAGAGGGAUCGGCAGGUGUCUGCCCGGAGCCACCAACCUCUGGGAACGAGUGUUAUUAGCCGUGAAGGAAAGAUAUCCCUUCAAAGACGACCUGGAGCCCGAGAUGAGAAAGUGGCACACUGCUGAAAAGGGCAUCCAGUAUCUGAGAGAAAUGGCCGUGGUGGAAAUGCUGUAUGACCCCAGGUUUGUUCCUAACAACCCGUGCCAGGACCACGAUCCCGAGAGACUGAGAUGUUCUCCAGAUCUCUGGCGGAAACUCACCCGAACAGCAGCAGAAACGUACGCGGGUGCGCUGGCAGCAACCUUUGAGAGAUACGAGGGCCGGCAGAGGAGACCCCCGGUUUUUGAACUGAUGCUUACACUUCAAAACUUGGAGGAAAUCCUCCCCCCCUCUCACGCUUCCAUUUCAGCCGUCACAGAAGUGAAAGAAGAACUGGAGAAAAUGAAGAAGAAUCAGGCCGCUUUACUGGGGGACUUGUCCCUCUUGAUGGAUUGUGACGAACCCGUUUCUGCAGCAUCAGAAGCACCCGAUGGAGAUCAGGAGGAUCUGAGGAGGCUGCUGAAGGAGCUGAUCCGACUGAUUAAAGGUGAAAUCUCCCCUUCACCUGCAUCAUCAAAAGUCUCAGCUCUCCAAGGCAGACGCCUUCCUGCUCGAGCAAAUAAUGACGGCGGUAGAUCCAUGGCCCGAGCCGCCUUGUGGAGUUACUUACGGGAGCAUGGAGAAGACAUGAAGGAAUGGUUUAAGAAACCCACUCCUGUACUACGAGCACGGGUGAGAGAAUUACAGCGCAGAUCAAGCAGCGAGGCCAUUGCCCCAGGUACUGCAGGGAACCCAUAGAGGGG
rnacentral:lncRNA from 1 species